rnacentral:lncRNA from 1 species
UUCAGAGGGACUGAGGGUGGGUUGCGUCGCAGUUGUGGCUCGGCCCCAGGAACAGCGAUGGGGGGGGGGCGUUAUUGAUUAUUGCAUUCAAUCUGAAAACGCAGCCUGCGUAUUCAAGAUGCCUGGCCGGAGGAGUGAAAAAAAGUGUCUAAAAAGAAAUCCAGUAGAAUCCAGUAUUUUCAAGAUGUGCAAAAUAACCAUGCUUUUAUAGAAGAAUGAAAGAUUUACAAUUAGGUGAUGGUUAAAA